rnacentral:tRNA from 2 species
GACCUCCUGGCCGGGGCCCACCGCGCCUGCUUCUACCGGGCGGGCGUCCUGUCCGCCGACCCCGGGCUCGCCCCCGGGGACGUCACC